rnacentral:lncRNA from 1 species
AGGCUGAGGUGGGAGGAUUACUUGAGCUGAGGAGUUUGAGGCUUCAGUGAGUUUUGAUUGUGCCACUGCACAAUUGAUUGAUUUGUGAAAGCUAUGUCGUGGAAUCAGCUCUUGGAUGUAUUUAUCAAUUCUGUAUUCUAAUUAUUCUUUUAUGCUUUUGUUUUUAUAAUAUCCUUUUUCCCUCCUUUCUUUGUUUGUGGUUGGUUUUCUUACUUUUUGCCUUGAAUGCUUAGUUUAUUUAUUUUCCUUCUAAUGAAAGUGUUUAGUGCUGUGAAUUUGCCUCUGAAUAUAUCUAAAACAUGGCUAUAUCUGAUAUGUUUUCAUAUAUAGUGAUCUUAUGUUGUUAUUUUCUAAAUAAGCUUGGAAUUAUAAUUUCAAAUCCUCUUUAGUCAAUUAGAAGAACACAUUUUAAAUUCUAAGUGGUUGGGUUUUAAAAAAUGUGUUCUUUUGUUAUGUUCUAGCUUAUCUUAUUUUCAGAGAAAGUGACCUCUACAAUUUUGCCAAAUUUUGCCAUUUGGGAUUUAUUGUGGUUUUCUUUGUAGCAUGGUAUCUGAAUAUGUCAGUUAGGAUCAGGGUCAUCUGCAUGUAACAAAGUCCAAAAUAACAGUGGCUUAAACAAAAUAGUUUAUUUCUCUCUUAUGUCAAAGAAGUUUGGAGAUAAGGAGGACCCCCACAAUAUCAUCAGGAACCCAGACUUCCAUUUUUCUACACCACCAUUUUCAGUACUGGCUUCUAUUGUAAAAAGUCACCCCAUAGCCCGAGAUGGCUGCUGGAGUUCCAGCCAUCACAUUCACAUUCCAGAGAGGAGAAAGAAAAGAAGAAUAGUAGGCUAUAUCUCCCAACCGAAAUACAUUUAUCUUUAAGAUACAGCCUCUCUUUAAGGAGCCUUUUGGGAAUUUCCAUGCAACAUUCCAUGUUCUGCAUAUAUUUCAUUCAGAAUUUAGCUGGGUAUAUACAUUUCAUUUAGAAUUUAGCUGGGUAUAUAGUUGAUCCCCAAUUAUAUAAGGAUUCUAUUAGUAAGAAAGAAGGGAAGAAUGGUGAUAGGCAAACAAGAAUGCCAUAAUAACUUUUAUAAAUAUUCCAUCAACACUUUAAAAGAUAUACAAUUUGGUGGUAUCAUCACUUUGUUAAACUGGGUAACUGGGUAUUUGAAAUGGCAAAAGUUGAAUGUGGGGCUCAUUUUUCCCUGAGAAGCCAAAUGGACCCUUACACAAUUAUCAGCUGCCAUCAAGUGGGAAGAACUGGCCAACCCAGCAGAUGCCAGCACUGUCUUCCAUUCACAAGGAGUUACUGAGGCUCACCCCAUACGUUUCCACUCUCUCCUUACCCUACCCUAGACAAGCCCAUCAUUGCAGGGUCACUAUGGCCCUGUAGGCAGGUGGGAGACUUGGAUGCUGAUCCACUCCCCUGCCAUUCAGGGGUUCAUUGCUGAAGCAGAUGCUGUGAAUGUCCUAACAGGACCGAUCCUUUCCCAGCCUGGAGCAAGCAUCCUUCUGUGAAUAAACGCAUGUGGUGUAAGAAGAGGAUGCCCUGGCCCCCAAGAUCCUGUGUGAAUACUUGAUGGAGGCGAAAUGGGGAGCAUGGCCUGGGAUACCUCCCAGCAGCUCUACGAGGCAGCCAGAACUGAAAUGACAAUGCUCACCUAUCCCCACUUCCUAGCCCCAGAUAUCUGUAUCCUGAGGUUCAGAACAGUCAAGCCAGAGGCUGAGUCUCCAGAGGAACCACUGGAUUUGAAGAACCUGGGCCUCCCACCUUGGCACUUUCACAUGGACAAGCAACAUGGUCCGUCACCACUCCUCCCCACCCCUGGGCCACUGCCUCGUCUUGUGUGGAAAGAGCAUGCUGGCUGCUCCAGUGCUUCCUGCAGCCCCAUCAGCUUCUCCAAGGCCCUGCUGUCGCCUGGUAGCACUGAACAUUUAAGCAAAUGCCUGGUCUGAAGGGGAGUGAAGGUUCCAGUCCACACCUUAGGAAAGCCCCUGGUCUGAUGGAGUGGAGCUCUGUUCUCUGAGGGAUAAGACUUGUGUUCCCGAGAUGGAGAUGAGACGAUGUUCAGUGGUGUAAUGCUGACUAUGGAGCUCAGAGAAAGAAACCAGCAAAGGCCAGGAAAGAACUACAUGGGAGGAGAAGAAUGGCACUGGCAACCGGCAUCCAGGGAGCGCUUGCUGCAGGCUGCAUGCUGAGGCGAAUUUCCUCCACACCUUACUUCCUCUCAUAACCAUCCUGAGAGGUACUGGGAUUGUCCUUCACUUAACAGGUGAAGAAACAGAGGCACAAAGAGCUCCAGUGACUUGCCUGUGGUCACAUAGCUGGUAAAUGCUGGCACCAGCAUUUGACAACCAGAGCCUGAGCGUUAAUCACUAGGUCCAUGGUAGGACACCCAAAAUGAAGGGGAGCAGCAAAGGUACAGACGGAUGUGCAGAGAGCACAGCUGCCAGGGGGCUGGAGCGGCAGAGGGGACUUCAGCCAUGUUAUGAACUAUAAAUGGGAGCAGAGAUAGGAUGUGUGAUUUGGCCAAGGUCCUGCAGCGCGAUAGGGUGGAGGCUGGGCUAGAAAUCAUAGCUGUUGGCUCCUGUUUCCCUCUCCUUCCACUUUCCUUGGUACCAGCCACAUUCUGGGCGCUCUCCACCCGUCUGCGUGGCCACGCCUGAAUCGUUUCCCUCUUGGAAGAGGUGCAAUCCACUGGCAUUGAAGCUGGGUGGACUGGCUCCCUCUCUCUAUCCAUCUCUUUCUUCCUUUCCCCUGCCAUGUUCUGGAAAGGGCAGCGGGAGGGAAUGUGGGCAGGUUGCACCAGAGAUAUACAUCUGAGAGCUGAAGGGAACAUUUAUUUUUAAUUUAGACUUAAAAAGAAAAAAGGAAGUUAUAAAAUAUCUGCUCUUGCUCCUGGGAUUGUGCAGAUGGUGCUGCGUUUUGCCUAAUAGGGAAUUGGGCUGGCAUCCUCGUGCUUUUGGUCCCCGCCUGACUGUAAGGACCUGGAGGGCAGGAUCCCUGCUUCCCUGCCUCAGCCUCACAUGGCCCCCUAAGGCUCCAUUUGGCCGAUGCAGCUCGGUGUUCCUGUCUUCUAACCUCACCCUCUCCACACUCCCUCUGGUCUCCCAGACCUCCUCUGCAGUCAGACCAGUCUCUCUGCUGUCUCGGCUGUCCCUGCUCCUGUGUCGGCGCCCCCUCGGCUCACUCCUACCUCCGCCUUCGUUAGAUAGCCGGGACACACUCACCCCUCCCUUCCUAAACUCCUGUUUGGAUGUUAAAAUUUAUCAACUUUACACAUAACCAAAUACCUCAUUAAACCAUCUUGUCAUUUUCAA